AACGAACGCUGGCGGCAUGCCUAACACAUGCAAGUCGAACGAGACCUUCGGGUCUAGUGGCGCACGGGUGCGUAACGCGUGGGAACCUGCCCUUAGGUUCGGAAUAACUCCCCGAAAGGGGUGCUAAUACCGGAUAAUGUCUUCGGACCAAAGAUUUAUCGCCUUUGGAUGGGCCCGCGUUGGAUUAGCUAGUUGGUAGGGUAAAAGCCUACCAAGGCGACGAUCCAUAGCUGGUCUGAGAGGAUGAUCAGCCACACUGGGACUGAGACACGGCCCAGACUCCGACGGGAGGCAGCAGUGGGGAAUAUUGGACAAUGGGCGAAAGCCUGAUCCAGCAAGGCCGCGUGAGUGAUGAAGGCCUUAGGGUGGUAAAGCUCUUUUACCCGGGAUGAUAAUGACAGGACCGGGAGAAUAAGCUCCGGCUAACUCCGU
rnacentral:rRNA from 1 species